GACGAACGCUGGCGGCGUGCUUAACACAUGCAAGUCGAACGGUGAAGCGCCUUCCUUUUUGGUGGGUGUGGAUGAGUGGCGAACGGGUGAGUAACACGUGAGUAACCUGCCCCCUUCUUCUGGAUAACCGCAUGAAAGUGUGGCUAAUACGGGAUAUUCUGGGUCUGUCGCAUGAUGGGUCUGGGAAAGAUAUUGUUUCGGUGGGGGAUGGGCUCGCGGCCUAUCAGCUUGUUGGUGGGGUGAUGGCCUACCAAGGCGGUGACGGGUAGCCGGCCCGAGAGGGUGGACGGGCACACUGGGACUGAGACACGGCCCAGACUCCUACGGGAGGCAGCAGGGGGGAAUAUUGCACAAUGGGGGCAAGCCUGAUGCAGCGACGCCGCGUGAGGGAUGGAGGCCUUCGGGUUGUGAACCUCUUUCGCCAGUGAAGCAGGCCUGCCUCGUUUGUGGGUGGGUUGACGGUAGCUGGAGAAGAAGCGCCGGCUAACUACGUG
rnacentral:rRNA from 1 species